AUUGAACGCUGGCGGCAGGCCUAACACAUGCAAGUCGAGCGGGGUUUUCGGACCUAGCGGCGGACGGGUGAGUAAGGCGUAGGAAGCUACCCGAUAGAGGGGGAUACCAGUUGGAAACGACUGUUAAUACCGCAUAAUGUCUACGGACCAAAGUGUGGGACCUUCGGGCCACAUGCUAUCGGAUGCGCCUACGUGGGAUUAGCUAGUUGGUGAGGUAAUGGCUCACCAAGGCGACGAUCCCUAGCGGGUUUGAGAGGAUGAUCAGCCACACUGGAACUGAGACACGGUCCAGACUCCUACGGGAGGCAGCAGUGGGGAAUAUUGGACAAUGGGCGCAAGCCUGAUCCAGCCAUGCCGCGUGCGUGAAGAAGGCCUUCGGGUUGUAAAGCACUUUCAGUAGGGAGGAAGCGUUGUGUGUUAGUAGUACACAGCGUUGACGUUACCUACAGAAGAAGCACCGGCUAACUCUGUGCCAGCCGCCGCGGUAAUAC
rnacentral:rRNA from 1 species